rnacentral:rRNA from 1 species
GACGAACGCUGGCGGCGUGCCUAAUACAUGCAAGUAGAACGCAGGUGCGAACGGGUGAGUAACGCGAAGGUAACUGCUUCAUAGCAGGGGAUAAAUGUUGGAAACGAUAGCUAAUAAGGGAUACUGUGAGAGGGACCUACGUUGUAGUAGCUAGUUGGGGAGGUAAAGGCUAACAAAGGCGACGACACAGAGCAGACCUGAGAGGGUGAUGGGCCACACUGGUACUGAGACCCGUCCCAGACUCCUACGGGCGGUCUCAGUAAGGAAUCUUCGGCAAUGUACGGAAUUUCGACCGGUCAACCCCGCCUGAGGGGAGAAGGGUUUCGGAUCGUAAAGCCUUUUUGUUAGGGAAGCGGUAACUAACCAGAAAGGGACGGCUAACUACGUGCCAGCAGCCGCGGUAAUUC